CUGCCCUUGGGACAUUUGUUCAGUAUCUACAGGUCACAUCCACAGCCCUGUUGGUAAGACUGAGCAGGCUGCUUUGGAGAUGGAAUGGAGAGCAUAGGGAGACCAGAGAGAGGCAGAAAAAGCUGGCCUUCAGUGUCAGUGCAUCACUUAAGAAAUAAAUGGUCCUGGGGAAGCUCCCAACUACUGAGGAUUCACCAUUCUCACCCUCCCUCACCAAGCAGGAGCAGCAGAUAAACAAGGUGGAGAAACUGAUCCUUCAGCUUCAGAGGAUGACCAAAGAGAGGAAUGAACUGUGUGUAAUCCUGGCCCAUUAUAGCAACAGUGAUUUGAACAACAUGUAGUCAUUAGGCCCA